AUACGUAGGUGACAAGCGUUAUCCGGAUUUAUUGGGUUUAAAGGGUGCGCAGGCGGCCAUUUAAGUCAGCGGUUAAAUCGUGGGGCUCAACCCCAUUCUGCCGUUGAUACUGGGUGGCUUGAUUGCGGUCGAGGUUGGCGGAAUUCGUUGUGUAGCGGUGAAAUGCAUAGAUAUGACGAAGAACACCGAUUGCGUAGGCAGCUGACCAGACCGCAAAUGACGCUCAUGCACGAAAGUGCGGGGAUCGAACAGGAUUAGAUACCCUGGUAGUCCGCACAGUAAACGAUGAAUACUUGUUUUCGGCGAUAUAAUGUCGGAGGCAAAGCGAAAGCGAUAAGUAUUCCACCUGGGGAGUACGCCGGCAACGGUGAAACUCAAAGGAAUUGACGGG
rnacentral:rRNA from 1 species